GUCUCUUCCAACUCUAUGAUUCUAUGAUUCUAUGAUUCUAUGAUGGUUGUUUUUGCAUCUCAUAGAAUCAUAGAAUCAUAGAAUCAUAGAGUUGGAAGAGAC